rnacentral:rRNA from 1 species
UACGUAGGUGGCAAGCGUUGUCCGGAUUACUGGGCGUAAAGAGCGCGCAGGCGGUCGUUCAAGUCGCGUGUGAAAGCCCCCGGCUCAACUGGGGAGGGUCACGCGAUACUGAUCGACUCGAAGGCAGGAGAGGGUAGUGGAAUUCCCGGUGUAGUGGUGAAAUGCGUAGAUAUCGGGAGGAACACCAGUGGCGAAGGCGACUACCUGGCCUGUUCUUGACGCUGAGGCGCGAAAGCUA